CUCGUUUUGAAGGGAAGACUGCACGUGUUGCAGGUAGUUGUACAUCAUGGGCGUUGCGACAAUGGCGACCAAGGUGGCGAUGGUAGCCACAGAGAUGCCUGGAGAA
ensembl:ncRNA T21B4.18 ncRNA